rnacentral:rRNA from 1 species
GACGUAGGGCGCGAGCGUUGUCCGGAUUUAUUGGGCGUAAAGAGCUCGUAGGCGGCUUGUUGCGUCAGCUGUGAAAACCCGCAGCUCAACUGUGGGCUUGCAGCUGAUACGGGCAGGCUUGAGUGCGGUAGGGGAGACUGGAAUUCCUGGUGUAGCGGUGAAAUGCGCAGAUAUCAGGAGGAACACCGGUGGCGAAGGCGGGUCUCUGGGCCGUUACUGACGCUGAGGAGCGAAAGCGUGGGGAGCGAACAGG